GAAACGCGAUAGUUAAUGUGAAUUGCAGAAUUCAGUGAAUCAUCGAGUCUUUGAACGCACAUUGCGCCCAUUGGCAUUCCUUUGGGCAUGUCUGUUUGAGCGUCAUUUACAAUCCCUUCAGCGCAAGCUGGUAUUGAGCCAGGCAGCCUGGAAAACCAACCGUUAGGUGUUUCCUUGGGCUCUUGCUUUAAAGUUGUACGCUCUGCUGGCUGCUCCGUCUGACCAAAAAAACAUAGUAAAAGAAAAAUUCUAUCUUGUUUGAAAAAUCAGAUAAACUGCACGCUCGGCCUGAAUAAAACCAAUUUUUUCUAAGGUUUGACCUCAGAUCAGACAAGGAUACCCGCUGAACUUAA
rnacentral:misc_RNA from 1 species